rnacentral:rRNA from 1 species
UACGUAGGGGGCAAGCGUUGUCCGGAUUUAUUGGGCGUAAAGAGCGUGUAGGCGGCUUCACAGGUCUGCUGUGAAAACUCGAGGCUCAACCUCGAGCUGUCGGUGGAAACCGUGGGGCUAGAGUCCGGAAGAGGAGAGUGGAAUUCCCGGUGUAGCGGUGAAAUGCGCAGAUAUCGGGAAGAACACCCGUGGCGAAGGCGGCUCUCUGGGACGGUACUGACGCUGAGGAGCGAAAGCGUGGGGAGCAAACAGG